rnacentral:misc_RNA from 1 species
GGAUGAGCCUAAAUUUGAAGAAUUUGAAUUUGAACCUUUAAUUAAAUUUCCUUUUGCAAUAGUUGAAGAUAAAGACCUUGAAGAAUGUGUCCUAGGAAACGACAAAGGUCAUGCCAUGGAGAUUUCAAUGGUACUUGAGGAAAAACAAUCCAUGGAUACAAUAGCGGAGAUCGAAGAAACUCAAAUAAUGAAGUUGAUAGAAGUUGAAGAUUUAUC